rnacentral:rRNA from 1 species
UACGGAGGGUGCGAGCGUUGUCCGGAAUCACUGGGCGUAAAGGGCGCGUAGGCGGCCACCGCAAGUCGACUGUGAAAUCUCCGAGCUUAACUCGGAAAGGUCAGCCGAUACUGCGGGGCUAGAGUGCAGAAGGGGCAACUGGAAUUCUCGGUGUAGCGGUGAAAUGCGUAGAUAUCGAGAGGAACACCUGCGGCGAAGGCGGGUUGCUGGGCUGACACUGACGCUGAGGCGCGAAAGCUAGGGGAGCGAACGGG